rnacentral:pre_miRNA from 1 species
UUAACUCAUAUUUGUAUGUAGUUGGAUGGUUUGCGUACGUUUGCCGCUAGGGGCGCUGUUCUAACUGCAUACAAAUUAGAGUUA